ACACGACUACAUUUAGAUACCCCCUGUAGUCCUAGGCGUAAAUGAUGCGAGUUAAGUNUGGGGGCAUCUACGAGAUGGCCCUGUGCUGUAGGGUAGCCGUUAAACUCGCUGCCUGGGGAGUACGGUCGCAAGGCUGAAACUUAAAGGAAUUGCGGGGGAGCACCACAAGAGGUGGAGGCUGCGGUUCAAUUGGACUCAACGCCGGAAAACUCAUCGGGAGCGACAGCAGUAUGAUUGCCAGGUUGAUGACCUUGCUUGACAAGCUG
rnacentral:rRNA from 1 species